ACGUUGGACUUUGUUGGAUUUUUCACUACCAAUCCGGAACCUCAGUGUGGAACCGGUUCACCGCCCACCCUGCUCCCGCUCUGAGUAUCUCGAGCGAGCGGUGUGGGUUUCUGUCACCAUACCUGAAAUGAUCAAGUGCUGGCCAAAUUUUGUCCUCUGAUAUUACUUCUGUACUCAGGACAGGAUAGAUGAGGGAACCCUGUGAUCCCGAAUGCAUGCC